rnacentral:lncRNA from 1 species
CUCCACAGGCAUCCAUUUCACUGCCCCAUCUCGAACCCGUGACUCCCUCACUUCCUGCAAUACCACCCUGCAGAACCCCUGAAUUUGGUAUCAAGGACUAUGUGAGCCAAAGGCUAGCAGAAGAGAGUGGCAGAGAUAUGUCCAUGUCUCAUCUGGAGGAACCAAACCUGUCUAUAGCCAUUCAUCACUAUCUAGAGAUGUUGUCUUCGGGCCACAUCUUGUUGCCCUCGGAACCAUUGAGGCUCAUUAGAAACAUGUGGAUGUGAUGGAGCCAGGGCUCCAUCACCCGUGACUUCGCAAGCUGGCCUGGGCUCUUAGACCUGGCCCAGGCAUCGCUGGCCAGUCCCUUCUCAUGGCUUCGGAAACUUCACCUGCAGGUGGCACUCUUAUCUGGGUGAGAAACUAGCAUGUGGGAACCAUACUCAAGACAAGCAGCUCCGAGAAACCGCCAAGCACAGGGCUCUUCAAAUCAGGAAGGCAACAGAUACCCCACUGGUCCCCUUUCCUCCUUAUGGGGGGCAGAUUCUGUAUCCCCAGGAGAGGAAGUUUUCGUUUGGCCAGUUACUCCUGUUUUGUUCAAAAUAAUUUAUUUACGAGCCUUACAAAAAUACAUUGGCAAGAGAAAAAAAAUAAAAGUCCUCUAGGAACAGG